CAUCUAUCCAACUAUCUCCUGAUGACUUCACUGGGGGAUAGAAAGCCACAGGUGGACGGUCUCCGGGUGGAUGCAGCAGGAGGGAGCAGAUGGAGGGAAAGGAGCCGCCCCAGCACCUCGCAGGAGCUCAGCCCUUCCCCAGGCCAACAGGCCGGAAAGCCCAUUGGAUCAUUGAAUGUCAGAGUAGAAGAGACCACAGACAUCGAAUGAUCAGUUGAAAUAACAGUUUUUCAGCUGAAAAAAAGAGGAAUUCCAGAGUCUUUCAGUGAAGCUCACGGGUCUCACUGGUCCCUUGGCGGCGCCCUUCCCAGAGUUCUUUCAAGGUCUGUGACCCUCUCGAAGCCAGGUUCCGGGAGGGGUUUUUACCUUUGCCCGGUCCCUGGCAGUGCUGGGAACUGCCGUCCGAUUCAUUUCAUCUCUCGAUUUGGCGGAGUAUUCGGAAGGGGCGAGAGAUGAGGCGUGAAGGGAGGGACGCGCGCGGCCACGCUCCCCGCAGGACGCGGCUCCGGACCCGGCGUCGGGGCUCCGCGGGACCCAGGUGUUCCCGAGGGGAAGAAACUGGCAGAAAGUGGACGCCUCCGCCCGCUGCCCCCCCCCCCCCCCCACACACACACAGGUAACGGCACCACAGCUGCCUUCCGCACACGCGGCUCCCGGCGCCAACGCCAACGCCAACGCCUCCGCGCCCUCCGGGACCCUCCGACCCCGGCUCAAGCUCCUCCCCGCCCGCGGGCCCCGGCGGGAGCGGCGGCGGCGGCGGCGGCGGGGAGCGGGGAGCGGGGAGCGGGCCGCGCUCGCUGCCAUUGGCUGUGCGGCCCGAGGGGCGGGGGGCCCCGCAGUCCCGCCGGCUCCGCGGCCCCGGCUCCCGCCCGCCCUCCCGCAGCCGGUGCGCUCGAGCCCUGCGCUCCCCGGACGGCCGCGCGGGGGCGGGGCGCCGAGGCGGGGGCGGGGGCGGGGGCGGGGCGCGGCGGGGCGCGGGCGGGGCGCGGGCGGGGAGCUCAGCGCAGCUCCAGUCCGGGCCGGGCCGGCGCGCCGCGGGAGGGGAGGUCGCCGCGCGCGGGCUCGCAGGGUCGUCUGUCCCCUCCGGGCACUCCCCGCGUGCACUGCCGGCCUUGCACCUUCGCGCGCCCGCAGAGCCUUUGCACCCGUCUUAGGUGCUUCAAAUCCGGGCAGAAUGCUCUGAAGAGAUUGACACAUGUUCAUGGUUCUCAUUAAAGAAGCUUCAUGUAAGCUGAGACAGGAAAUGAGACAAGGAAGGAUGAAUGUCCAGCUUUCUUCAACCACCAAGAAUAAAAGGAAAAAGCAAAAUGUCAACAGGAGUGCAAGCAGAUCUUGAAAGAAAAGGGGAGAAGAGGAAAGAGCCAGAAAAGUACCACCCUUACUAGAUCUGAAGAUUUAGCAUCAUUUCACAAUUUCCUGAUUCCAAUUCCAAUUGGUCUUAAUAUUCUCUGGGGUCCUUCUCAGUACUAGCCUUGAACAUCAAAGAACUGAUUACAGUACUAAACGUCUUUUCCUCCACCAAAUGUGUGCCAUUUGAACCUAAAGGUGAUGUACCACUAUACACCAGGUCAAAGUAAUAUUUCACAUAAUUAGGAUUUUAUUUUUCUGACUACAUACUUUUCGGGUAACAGAUAUAGUUACAUCCCAAGGCUUACUAAAAUGUCUAAAUAUUUCUAUUGCAUUGAAAAAAAUAGAAGUUUCAUUUUUAUUUU
rnacentral:lncRNA from 1 species